UUUGCCCUGCCAUUGCGCGUGCUUAGAAACUAUGUCCUUGAACCGUAAGCUCGAAAUAUCGGAAUCCGGACUUCGGGCGGUCGCCGACAGGCCUUGACUGGAAGUCGAAAGCCCCCGAUGGGAUUCCACCUGUUUCUCACAAGUUCAAAGGAACUGUGACACACGGCAUUGUGGCGGGGCUUUU
rnacentral:other from 1 species